rnacentral:rRNA from 1 species
AACGAACGCUGGCGGCAUGCCUAACACAUGCAAGUCGAACGAGACCUUCGGGUCUAGUGGCGCACGGGUGCGUAACGCGUGGGAACCUGCCCUUAGGUUCGGAAUAACUCCCCGAAAGGGGUGCUAAUACCGGGUAAUGUCUUCGGACCAAAGAUUUAUCGCCUUUGGAUGGGCCCGCGUUGGAUUAGCUAGUUGGUAGGGUAAAAGCCUACCAAGGCGACGAUCCAUAGCUGGUCUGAGAGGAUGAUCAGCCACACUGGGACUGAGACACGGCCCAGACUCCUACGGGAGGCAGCAGUGGGGAAUAUUGGACAAUGGGCGAAAUCCUGAUCCAGCAAUGCCGCGUGAGUGAUGAAGGCCUUAGGGUUGUAAAGCUCUUUUACCCGGGAUGAUAAUGACAGUACCGGGAGAAUAAGCUCCGGCUAACUCCGUG